rnacentral:lncRNA from 1 species
UGGGUCUAUAAGAUCAAGAUUGAGGUUGAUGGUUCAGUUGAGUGCUAUAAAGCUCAUUUUCUGGAUAGGAAUUUGACCCAGGAGUAUAGGAUUGACUAUGCUUCUAUUUGCUCUUUGAUUUUUGCUACUAUUGCUCAUAAAUGGUAGUUUUUCUCAAAUGGAUGUUAAGAAUGCCUUCUUAAAUAGUAACAUGACAGAAGAGAUGUAUAUGUAGCCUC